rnacentral:rRNA from 1 species
UACGGAGGGGGCUAGCGUUGUUCGGAAUUACUGGGCGUAAAGCGCACGUAGGCGGCUUUGCAAGUCAGAGGUGAAAGCCCGGGGCUCAACCCCGGAAUAGCCUUUGAGACUGCAUCGCUAGAAUUGUGGAGAGGUAAGUGGAAUUCCGAGUGUAGAGGUGAAAUUCGUAGAUAUUCGGAAGAACACCAGUGGCGAAGGCGACUCACUGGACAUGUAUUGACGCUGAGGUGCGAAAGCGUGGGGAGCAAACAGG